AUCAUUUUGUAGUUCAUGAGCAUGAUGACUAAGUGUUCAUGUGCAUGUGUGAGAUGUGCCACCCUCAAACCUUGUUAUAACAUCAGCACAUUACCCAUACAACA
ensembl:snoRNA